GGAAUAUUGCACAAUGGGGGAAACCCUGAUGCAGCCAUGCCGCGUGUGUGAAGAAGGCCUUCGGGUUGUAAAGCACUUUCAGUAGGGAGGAAAGGGUGAGUCUUAAUACGGCUCAUCUGUGACGUUACCUACAGAAGAAGGACCGGCUAACUCCGUGCCAGCAGCCGCGGUAAUACGGAGGGUCCGAGCGUUAAUCGGAAUUACUGGGCGUAAAGCGUGCGCAGGCGGUUUGUUAAGCGAGAUGUGAAAGCCCUGGGCUCAACCUAGGAAUAGCAUUUCGAACUGGCGAACUAGAGUCUUGUAGAGGGGGGUAGAAUUCCAGGUGUAGCGGUGAAAUGCGUAGAGAUCUGGAGGAAUACCGGUGGCGAAGGCGGCCCCCUGGACAAAGACUGACGCUCAUGCACGAAAGCGUGGGGAGCAAACAGGAUUAGAUACCCCAG
rnacentral:rRNA from 1 species